CACGUAGGGUGCGAGCGUUGUCCGGAAUUAUUGGGCGUAAAGAGCUCGUAGGCGGUGUGUCGCGUCGGCCGUGAAAACCUGUGGCUUAACUAUGGGCUUGCGGUCGAUACGGGCAUCACUGGAGUUCGGCAGGGGAGACUGGAAUUCCUGGCGUAGCGGUGAAAUGCGCAGAUAUCAGGAGGAACACCGGUGGCGAAGGCGGGUCUCUGGGCCGAUACUGACGCUGAGGAGCGAAAGCGUGGGGAGCGAACAGG
rnacentral:rRNA from 1 species